rfam:Otolemur garnettii contig186520, whole genome shotgun sequence.
GUGCUCACUUUGACAGUAUGAAUACUAAAAUUGAAACAAUACAGACAAGAUUAGCAGUGCCCUUGCUCAGGGAUGACACAAGUUGUGAAACAUUCCAUAUUAAA